AAACCUAAACAUUUACAAAGAGAAAGUAAGAUUAUGAUAUUGUAUUAGUAAAGUUGAUAGGUAGUAUAUUCUUUGUUUAGGGAUGAAUUGGAUCGGGGCUUGAGGGUUUGGAUGGACCACGAAGAAACUGUAACAAAAGUCCAUCAAAUUCUUGAGAAAUCCGUUCAUCUUGCAAAGGCCUACAAUCGACUCCAAGUUGAGAACAAACGACCAUAAUGAAAAAAAUGAUCACG
rnacentral:lncRNA from 1 species